rnacentral:rRNA from 1 species
CGAGGUGAAACCUAAUUGGCCUGGAGAAGAGCUUGCGUCUGAUUAGCUAGUUGGUGGGGUAAAGGCCUACCAAGGCGACGAUCAGUAGCUGGUCUGAGAGGAUGAGCAGCCACACUGGGACUGAGACACGGCCCAGACUCCUACGGGAGGCAGCAGUGGGGAAUUUUCCGCAAUGGGCGAAAGCCUGACGGAGCAACGCCGCGUGAGGGAGGAAGGUCUUUGGAUUGUAAACCUCUUUUCUCAAGGAAGAAGUUCUGACGGUACUUGAGGAAUCAGCCUCGGCUAACUCCGUGCCAGCAGCCGCGGUAAUACGGGGGAGGCAAGCGUUAUCCGGAAUUAUUGGGCGUAAAGCGUCCGCAGGUGGUCAGCCAAGUCUGCC